GGCACUAGCUAAAAUGUAGCAUUGCCCACACACAAUGUUUGCUUAUCAUUCUCUCUCACUUUGUAACUAUGUUAAAGGAACAAACGUUUACAAACUCAGCCUCAGCUUUCUCAUGUCUCCAAAGAAAACUGAUCAGAAACAGCAUUCCUGAAUUUCGAACAGUACAAAGGUGUGGGAGCUAGACAGACCUUAUGUUAUUAGUCUGCAUUUAAAUCUUCUCAUGAAUUUAAAUGAUUUGUUACUACAUAAUAGAAAACUCUUUGUUAGGUGUUGCCAAGGUUGUUCAAUCUGAGACUCCCCAGAGGGUAUUGGAUGGCAACUUUAUCAGCUGUUAGUGAGUAUAACUAGUGGUGAGGAAUGAUGAGAGUUGCAUGCCUGCAUAUAUCACCUAUCCCUGUUGUAAAUUGUUAAGUUAUGUUUGGGAAGGGAUAGAUCAUCCUCUAGAAUAAUACUGGGCAAAAUGAGAACAUUCAGGUGUUGCUGGACAACAAUUUCUGGCAUUCAUUGUCAUCGGCUAUGAUAGCUAGGGUCAAUGGGACAUAAAUUGUAUCACCAUUUCAAAAGCACUUUGCCAUGCAGUCUGGGAGAGGCAUCAGCUAUGUUGGCUUCCCAUUCUUUUUGGAUCUUAGCAAUAUGACAUUACACAACUUCAAGUGAAGGCCUUUAUUGGAUGUACAACUAAAAGUAACUUUAUAGACAUAUUUACAAUAGCAAUUGGUUAAUAUAAUAUGUACUUAUAUUUUUAUUUUUUCAGUCUCAGCCUUUCUACUGUCUUACUGUAGGGAGACAUUUCUAGAGAUUAUUAUAUUGAUGUAAAGAUUAACUUAAAUGCCCAUUUUGACGCUCAGUCUCUAAAAGAGGCUGCUAAAGAGAGGCUGUUUAAUCUAUAGUUAACUGUUAAAUUAUUUGAUGGUUGAGAGCACUUGUAUUACCUGCAUAUAAUGUAUGAACUUCUCAGUUGGUAAUUAUUGACUAAACUUGUAUUACUAUUUGCAGAGGAAAGGAUGGCAAAGCAAAAUGUAUUUCCAGUCUAUUGUUUGAUUUCCCUUAUAAGCAUUAACAGGCAGGGUUUGGGAAUUCUUAAACAACUUGCUAGACAGUGUGUUGUUACAGGAGUGUGCUCAAUAGGCCUGACUCCAAUGUAAAUGUGUAUAGAAUUGCAGCCUAAGACUGGGAUCUUAUAGGACCAUUAUGCUAGUGCGAAAAGAGCCAAUGUGGUGUAGUGAGUUAGGUGUUGGACCACGACUUUGAAGACCAAGGUUUGAAACUACUCAGCCAUGAACUCCCACUGAGUGACUCUGGGCAAGUCACACACACUUAGACUCAAUUGAGUUCACAUUACAUCAUAUGUUAAAAUUACUUAAAGACACACAACAACAACAACAACAACAACAACAAAUGUUAGCAUAACAGUCUGAUAUGUAGUGUUUCUAUUUUCUGUGUAGUGAUGCAAGGAGGUAUUGGCAGUGGCAUCAGGAGACAGCUACAAUGCGGUGCAACCUGAUUACCUGAAAGACUAGCUUCUGGAGUGUCUGGAGAGAGUGCAAGAAGCAACAGCAUUACUUGGAUAAUUUACCAACUGAUUAACCAGGUCCAAGCUACAACCUCCUGUACUGCCCUAGUUCUGCGGGUUCUCGUCCCCACAAAAAAAGCCAGACAUUCAAGAAAAAUACUGUAUUAUGGUGACAUCCUUCUUUUCUCACUACUGCUGCUGCUGCCUUUUCCAUCCUUUCUUCACUGCCACUGCAUUUUCCCUUUCACUGCUUACGCUUACAAACAUUUAGUUAUUCUAGUGGUGGACCCAGGGCUCAUUUAUACUGGCUGUUUAGCCUGCUGUAAAUGUGUCUCAGGGCAGCACCAGAUCUGGCAUGCUCAUGCUGAAUAGUAGUUGUUUAUGUAGCUGGCAAAUGCAGAUGCUCCAUUGCAAUGACACAAAUUUUGCCUUUCCUAUGUCACUGACAUCACUGCUGCUAGCUGGCCAUGGAGCUCCAUUUGAGUUCCAGGCCAUUGAGGGUGCCUUUACUGACAUAGGCAAAAGUGCCCCUGCAGUCAUGUUAAAUAGUAAAAACUGUUAUAUCUUCAGUAUAACUAAGAGAUUGGAUUGUCAAAGGCUCCUAGUGAAUUAACACUAGACUUGAGACCUUAAUCUGAGAAAUCCACACCACAGCUCCUGUCUAUAGCUCCUACUGUUGUGAUUUCCAACAUUGCAAUCCUAUCAUAGGGGGUUUUCUGGGGCUGAGAGUUUAUGACUUGCCUAAGGUCACCCAGUGGGUUUCCAUGGUUGAGUGGGGAGUCAAACCUAGACCUUCAGAGUCAUAGUCCAACGCUCAAUUGACUACACCACACUGGCUCUCACAUUUCUUGUUCUUAUGUAGUAUGGCAUUGUGCUGUGUGUUGGAAGGCAUCACAACAUAGCAUAAUCAAGGACAUUUGAUUUGUGGCCACAUGAAGACAAGUGAGAAUGAGGUCAAGUAAAAACAAAUAAAGCAAAUCUGCAAAUGUGUUCCCAGGGUGCCAAAAAUUAUACAAACAGGAAGUUUUUGUUUCAGCAUUGCCAAACCUUUUUGGAAAAAUUACAAAUAAAUUCAGCUUAUCACUGACAGAAACCAGUUCAACUUACUUCCAGAUAAAUGUGUUUAAGAUCAGAAUGAGAUGCUGUCAAGCUAUUCCAAGAGGAGCUGUUUCAUAAAACAUUUUAUUUUCUUCCACAUCAUUUGGCUUGCCUCUUAAAAACAGGAUUUUUGAAUGCCAAGCUUGAUUUCUUUUUAAAGUUUCAUGGCUGAGACAAAGUUUGAUCUCCUUUUUUCAAUACUGAUACAGUUUUAGAAUAUUGUUUAGUUUUAUGCCUCUCACUUCUUUGACAUUGUUCUGUAAGUGCUGUCUUCUUAAGAUUAACGUUUCUUCCAUCAUGGGUAUUCUGCUAUAGUUGUUCCAUCUGCAAAUAUGUUUUUUUCCAUAUCCACAUGUCAAUCAAUGGCUUUCUUUAAAUGAGCAAAUGACAGACAGUAGAAUUCAGAUUAAGGCUAACAGUUUUACACUGAGACCUAACUGCUGGUGGUACACAGGUAUAUAUGCAUCAGAAAUGGGAACAUAUCUCCACAGCUGAAAUAUAUUCAAAUACAUUUAUUUCACAUAAAAUACAUUUGCCUGCUGUUCCAGAAGAACAUGCACUGAGCAAUAAAUAAGCACAUUUUAUAGUAUAGUAUGCCACUGCAUUCUCUGGAGACUUCCCAAUUCAUUUUCAUGAGGAAAAAAACAUUAAUUCAUACAAAUUGAUAUGGAAAUAAUGUGGUUGCAUCCAUUAAUAAUCCAGCAUAUCCUACAGCUCCAUGCAUACAACUGAGUAUCUGUCAGGUCUCUAGAUCAGACUAUUAGGAACCUUAAUCAUUGAUAGGAAAACUUAGACUUUGUUGUACCUCACAUUAUUAUUCUAAGUAUUGCCAUUUACCAAGGCUGGGUUGAUGAUGUUGGACUGGGUCUCCCAUCAGCUCCAGGCAGCCUGUGGUUGAUUAUGGAAAUUGCAGUCCAACAAACUCUGGAGAGUACAGGUUGCCACAUUGUAGCUAGAGAGUAUGUGUUAUCCAAAGACAGUUUUAGGCACUGAAUAAACAUUCAAGGUACCUGGCAAUGAAAUGUAUCCCCGCUGUGUUAUUCUUCCUGCCUGGGUUUUCAGAGUGCUGGGAAAUCCCUGUUUAUCCAGAAAAUUAAUCACAGUAAAUAAUCUUUCCAUCCUAAUCAAUACCUAUCACAUGUCACAUAUGUAUACCCGUGUAUAAUUUGAUCGAGGGCAUGUUUUGAGAGCAAACACAUGGAGUUUGAUUUGAUUCAAGGAUGAAUCAAGGAUCAACCCAAACAACAGAAAAAGUGCUGGCUAUUCUCCCUGGCUGUCACUAUUUUCUUGCCUUGACAUGAAAACAACAAUAAGAGUGCUUCUUUUAGAUUUAUCCAGGAUGGACUAGGCCAUAAUUUUUUCAAAAGGAUGGUUUCUUUUUUGAGAAGAGUUAAGUUACAGUAUUUACACUGACUCAUGGAUAUGUUGACCCAAGUUUUAGGGCUCGAUUUUUUUUUUGGCUAAAACCUUCAGACUUUGUACAUGAGGAUAUUAUAUAGUAGUUUCUAUUAUUAGAAUCACAGUGAAUUAAAGCUGAAAGUAGAAAUGCCCAAAAGUUUGGAUGACACACUCAUUCCUCAUGGGAUUUAGAAAAGCCACAUCCCUUCUCCAUCUGCGCCCACACCCAGAUGGCUGGUUUUGUUUUUUGUUUUUUGACAUUUUAAAAAUUCAAAAUGCCUCGAUGACUUUAAAUUGGGUGUGGUGACACUUUUGUCAUGCUUUUUGGGUUCUUAUAGGCCCAGUAGAUGCCCUUUUUAAAAACCAGAAAACAAGACUUAUUUCCUAAUUUGCAAAAAGGCUUGUUCUGAACUAUAAACAAUCUGGGGAAGAAGAUAGAAUUUCUACUUGCACCUCUGUAUGAAGCAUGUGGAAUAUUUUCUUGGAGGUGCUUUGGGGGGAUGGGGUGGGGGGAGAAGUAUUACUUCCAUUUAUUAUGGGGUAUAUUAUUAUACUCCAUGUAUUGUUAUUGUUCUUAGCUUCCUCCAACAUUUUUUAUCUAAUGCCUAAACAAAUUAGUUAUCACCCACCCAUGCACCUCUCCAAACACCAUCCCAGUGGACUAAGAAUGGAUAACAACAUGAUAAUUUUAUCAUGAGAACCUCAAUAUCUGUAGAAGGAGAUAAUAAUUAAAAAAUGUGUCACAUCCUGAAACCUCUGUAAGUUACUUGGAUGGCAUCUAGACACCCUGCUUGAGAAAGCCCAGGUUUUGAGCAGCUUGUGGAGUUUAAAAUCUGCUUUUUCGUGGGUUUUGCCCUUGUCUGGAAGUGCCCUAAGAGUGCAUCCAUGGUUUAGAAUUAAUGCAGUAAUCAUGAGAGUUUUAGUUUUGCAAGGACUCCAGUCUUCUCUGUCAUAUAGUGCUGAUGCCUCACCAAGCUACAACACCCAUGAUCCCUGUUGCAGAAUGAAAAUCACAUGUAGUUCACGUUUGAUCAGUCCACACACUGUCUUGCCAGAGAAAAGAUAUGCCAUGUAGAUGAUCAGCGAAGAACAAGAAGUUUGCUCUUUAAAAUGCAGAGCAACAUUUAUACAGUCAUAUGAGCAGUUGUUUUCACUCACACAAUGCAGCCCAGGAGCAAAAACUCCUCUCUUGCUAAGCUCCUGCACAAAAGUUGUCUGUAACUGUUGUCAAAAAUCCCAGGCUCAGUCAGCUCCCUGGGUAUGGUCCAACCAAUCAGCUUUGUGCUUUACAUUUUCAGUUAACACACACACCAACUGAUUUUUACAUGCCCCAUGAUAGCUAAGCAGUGUUAAACAGCAUUAAAUCUACAGUGUUGAUGCAGCCUAUGUCCCUUUGAACUAAGCAGGAUGCACUUGAAUUGAGAAAUAUAUAGGAUGUUGUAGAUCUGUUUGAAGUUAUAUUCAGCUCAGUCCUUUCAAUGUUACAUAUUUAGUUGUUGACUGACUUUAUCUGGACUGAUGCGCGCAUUUUUUGAAUAGGUGCAAUCUUUUAAGGUGGACAACCAUUGAGAAAGAAUGUUGUGAGAUAAUAAAAAUAAAAGUGUGUGUGUGUGUGUGUGGGGGGGGGUCCUUAAAGGACUUGCUGCAACUUUACUGGUUGCAAUACUUCAAAAUAUUUUUUGCAUUAGGAGUUACAAUAAAUACAGUGCUAAAGCUCAGGAAUGGCAAAAUAAGAGAUGGCAAAUUAAUAAUAGCUGAAAUAGAUUUACCACCUGUUGUAUCAAAAUAUGCUUUAAAACACAGAUUUGAAACAUAUGGCUCUUCCUUGGCUGUGAAGAAUGAACAGAUGCAUCAAAAUGCUCAAGCUGUAAGCAGAGGGGGAAAGUCAGAAUUUAUAAUGUGAUGGAUGAUAAGCCAAGAGAUGGUAUUAGCAAAGAUUACAAGCUUUUGCAACUAAAGGACCAGGAAGUAAGGCCUUGAGUGCAUGCAUUCAUCCAAGCACAACCCCUGAUGGCAUAAACCUCGGCUGCAGAAGCCUCUAUCAAAUAGCAGGUAUACAAAUAAUAACUUGUCUUUCAAUGGUUUCGUUACCAUUAUCAAGGGAACUCCCUUUGUCUAUAUGUGUGUAGUGCCAAGUCAAGAGUAAAUUCAGACAUGCUUAUUCAUGCUUCAGUAAAGUCAUGAGUGACUGAUUCAGCAGGAACACCACAGGCAAAAAUUUCGUAUUAUACUAUGUAACAAAAUUUGAAACAAAUCUGUUCCUGGUUUGAAAGAGCUAUUUCCUGUUUAAUUGUGUGGUGCUUUAUUUGAAAGUAGUUGCUAUGCUCUAGAAAGUUUUUGUAGUUUAAUAAACCUUUUCCAUAUUUUUAUGAUAGAAUAAAUUAGGAAAUUACAUUUAUAACCCAGGAACAAAAUUGUGUUACGAAGUGUUAUUUUCACAUCACUCCACAUCCCCAAAGUCAUGUUUUUCACUAAAGACAGUUCACAAACUCAACCCUAACUCAACAAAGGAUGAAGAAAUGUGAGAUGAGUAUCUGUUAGCCAAGCCAAAAGUGUACUUCUUUGUAGUUUUUUUUACAUCUUCUUGGCAAAUUUGAUUCUGUGUCUAGAUAGGUAAAGGUAAAAGUAUUCCCCUGACAUUAAGUCUAAUCAUGUCCGACUCAGGGGGUUGGUGCUCAUCUACAUUUCUAAGCCGAAGAGCCGCCGUUGUCCGUAGACAUCUCCAAGGUCAUGUGGCCUUAUUUAUCUCCAAAGUUUAUUUAUGUCAGUGUUUUCUUCUAGAUCUUGAUUUAACUGAAAAUUCGAUCCUGGAGAAAUUACCAUUUUUCAAUCCAUCUCCCAGAAUCCCCAAGCAGUGUGACCAGUGGCAUACCAGUUGUAUAGUUUGUUCCAUGUGCAGCCAAUGAUCUGGUAGAGAGGCAGAUUUAUUCAAACAUAGGAGACAUCACAUUUCAAACACCUAAAUGGAGAUGAUCUGUGUAAAGUGAUUUUGUGAACUUUCAUCUCAUCUUAAAUAAAACGGUAAAGAUUGGCAUAUCCAUUCUUCCUGGCAUUUAUAAGUUACAAAUUAUUCCUCAGACAUGCAGGGCAAAUCACAAGGCUGGCAUAAUGAUAAAAAUGGAUAUGGGUUAUCAAGAAAAUAGACCAGAACCCUUUUCUUCUGUGUUUUGAGGAGACUCAACAACUACAGCCCCAUUUGUGCCAUUGAGGACUCCAAAUGUGACCAAGGCUAUUACCCUGGAGGAUGGCAUGUUUUCAUCCCCAUACUCCCUCCUGCACUCUGAGUGCCUGUUUUAGGAAUGUCAGGAAAGCCAGUUAUUGAUCUCCUGUCUUAAUUAUGAUGUUUGACCCUCACUGUGUUUGUGAGUCUGUGUGUGUGUGGGGGGGGGGGCAGACGGACUGCAGCAUGUAUUUGCAACAUCUGUCCUCUCUGUUGGCUUCAGAAUUUCAAAUUUCUCAUUGACAGGAGGACUUCCAUUCUUCUCUUUUCAAAAGACCACAGACCAUUCCCUUCUGUUGUCUGACAUUUAUGAAUAAUUAAGCUCCCAAUCUCUCUCCCUCUCUGUUCCACACACUUUUUUCCUUUUGCCCUUCUUCAUAAUAAGGUGUGCAGAGCUCUUUGCUGCUGUACCAAGAGUGGCCACGUUGAUAAAUGUCUUCUGCUUGGCAAUAAUAACUUCAGCGCCCAAAAUAUUGUUCCCCUCUAUGAAUCAGUACUACCAUUUUUAUUAUCCCUGUAGCCCACUGUACAAUUUUUAUUUGAGCUCUAGCUCCGGUUCUCUUUUUUGCUCUGCAUUUGCUAUCAUGCAAGUGUUUAGCAAAGAGUAUCCUUUUCUUGUUUUGUGUCCCUCAUCUCAUUAUCUUGGAUUUCUCUACAUUUAAUUGCAUAAGGCACUUGUGUUCCUUUGGGUCCACCCAAUCUGAGCCAGUCUGUCAUUUUGCCCUUCUUCUUAUUGAUUGCUGCUUCCAAGUACAUACAAGCUGCACAUUUCAUUACCUGAGUGUAUAUUCUCUUCUUCCUAGGUCACCACAAGUUGUGAUGCUUAUCCAAAUGUUGAUGAGGAAAUAUAAUUAAACAACAAUGGCAAGCCCUAAAAUAUUACUAAUGCAUAUUUCAGACACUACUUUUAUAGAUGUAUAUCAUAUCUACCACAUGAUUGAGUAACUUUACAGAACAAAAGUUUGCAUGCAGCUUUUGUCUUGAAAAGCCAAAUUUUAUGUACUGCAAUGUGAGGUCAGAUCCCAUUGUGCUAAAUCUCCCAAGGGCAACUAGUGGGUCUUUUGCAGCCAUAGGGGCAGCGAAUUUAAUCUUGAUUCUUGCCACCGCUCCUUCAAUUCACCGGGGAGUGGAGAGGGCAGCCAGUGCUAGAUCCUAUCAUGACAAAGGCUUGGGACUAGAAUGGCUGCCAUGUACCUCACAGCUGUAGUAAUACUGAGUAGCUUCAUUCUGCCUAUCCUGAAAUUUCAUACAGAGAUAAUAAACAAAAAGUGUAAUUCCCAACCAGAACCAUAUUAUGACAACUUAGAACUGAAUUCCAUGAGUGUAAUUCAUGCAACCUCUACCCUGUAAAGUGCUACAAAUUCCACUUAAGAACUCAUUAUGUUCAUCAUUAUGUACAUCUAUCCUCACUCUUCGUCUCUCCUACAGCAACCUUUAUGCCCCAGUUUCUAAUUACCUUAAAUCAGCAUUAUAAUUAUACUAAUAAGAAUAAUGUUUAAUAAUACCUCUUCCAAGUAGUCAGAUGAUAUAGUGUUAGAGGGUCAUAUGAUGCCGUGAGUUCUUUCAAAUAUUUUCAUUAAGAGCAUCACUAACACAAUUGGUGCUCACAGAUUUAAAGACUACAAUGCAAAUUAAAGUCCAUCCCCAUAAAGCAUACUAUCAUUUUGAGAUUUGUUUUACUAGGACCCUACCAUCAUAUUUAUGCAUUUAUUUAUUUGCUUAUUUGUUUGCUUAUUUAAUUAUUUAUUUGUUUAUUUAUUGCAUUUGUAUGCUGCCUUUCCCCUAGAGUCGGACCCAAAGCACCUUCCAUAACAAUUAAAAGUAGAUGAGAUGGUAACAAAGUGUUUUUGAAAAUAUACACAGCUUUAGAAAAAAUAAAACAACAACAUCAAAAGCUCUCCUGCUUACAUGUUAUAAGAUUUAUUGAACAGGAAUAUCUUAGCCUACUGGCAAAAGGAACCAGGAAGGGGUCCAGCCAAGUCUCCCACAGAAAGGAAUUUCAGAGUCUGGGAGCAGCCAUGGAAAAGUCUAUCUCUGUCUCCCUUUUGUCUUCACCAAGUAAGCCUGUGAUGGUGGCAGGGUCAAGGAAAAAAAACUUCCCAUGUAGAUCAUGGGAUUCUGGUAGUCUUUUAGAGAUUCUGGAUCUAAUCUUUAUAUAGGGCUUUACAGAUCAUGAUGAAUAUUUUGAUUUGUGCCCAGAAAUGAACCAGUAGUCAGUAUAGCUGUUUAAACAAGGGAAUUGUGUGCUCCCUAUAACUUCAUUUGCUCCAGAGGAAGUUGGAUGAUAUGCAGGAAAAUUAUCAAACAAUUGUUUUGUGCUGUUUUUAAGCCAAGGAAAGGCACAAUUACUUUAUUGUGGCUUAUUAUGCACAAUUGAUGAGGCACUCAUUUGUAACCAAAUGGAGCCAUCAAGGAAAUCUUUUUCAACAUGGGUGGAUAAAUUAUGAAUAGAGUUAAUGCUCAAAGUUUGAAAUAUAUGAACUAGUUCAAAAAGUGGCUUAAUUUUUUUGAGUUCCUUAUGUUGAGUUAUUCCACUUUUGAAUGCAUGGGGUUCACAUGGCUGGGGGCCCAUCUACACUGCCAUAUCAUGCAGUUUCAGAAUACAAGUAAACAACAUUCUGAAACUGCAUUAUAUGACAGUGUAGCAGAGGCCCAAGUGCACCUUCCUUGAGAACACUUUUUUCCACACAGAAAACAGGCAUGGUGGGAUCAGAUCUUUCUGGCUUAUGGUGUUCCUCAUGAAGAUAUUCUUUUCUUUCUUUCAUAUAUGGAGGACCUGUCAAUCAUGGUAACCACAUGGGUCUCGUGAAGUGGCACAGCCCAGACAUAAACUUCCUAUGUCUGUAUGAACAAGGCCUAUGAAAAGAAAAAGCCUUUUAACAUGAGGAUUCUUGUGAAGAUUUUAAUGAACGUGGACCAUCUACAGAUGUAACACUCAACUUCUGGAACAAUUCCAUCAGCAUUGCCUCUGAAAAAUCCUGCAAAUCUUUUUGGAAGACUGGUGGAUAAAUGUCAGCAUGUUAGAAGAAGCAAGGAUCACCAGCACUGAAGCAUUGAUACUUCGCUGAACUGACCAUGUUGUCUGAAUGCCCGUUCACCAUGUCCCAAAACAGUUACUAACUAUACUCCCAAAUAAAGAAUGGAAAAUGGAAUGCUGAUGGACAGAAAAAGAAAUUUAAAGAUGGGCUGAAAGUCAAUCUUAAAAGCUGGGAAACCCUGGCCCUUGAGCAUUCUCACUUGAGGUCAGUUUUCACCAACAGUGCUUUGGAAUUCAAAGAGGCACGGAUGGAGGACGAAAGAGAGAAACGUGUCAAGAGGAAGGAACGUCAAGCCAACCGGGACUGCCUUCCAUCUGGAAACCGAUGCCCUCAUUGUGGAAGAACAUGCAAAUCAAGAAUACAGUCACCUACGGACUCACCACCAAGACACUACACUUGGAAGACAAUAUAUUCGGACUCGAGUGAUCAUUGAUGACGAUAUUGAAGGCAGUCAUGAAUUGUUACAUGCCAUUUAGGAAUGCAUAGGUACAGGUGUGAUAGUUAUAAUAUAAAACCCCUCUUACAGCUGUGAACGGAGUAUGCAUAUUAUAUGUAAAGGAAUGUACAUGUGCAUGAAAGAUCAGCAGGAUGCUAAGCAUUAGUCAGUUCUGCCCCCUCCCUCUGCCCCUGAGAGUUCAUCUUCCUUGGAAGAUGAAGCAGACAUUCCAGUGGGGAGCAGAUGCCUGAUAGCCAGUAAAGUCUGCCUUUGGUUCAGCAAGUCAGGCCAGAUUUAGAACAGUGAGAAGAACUGGAGGAAAACCCCUCCAGUCCCAGAGAAAGGCAGAGAGUAUGCUCCAGAUAGAGAGGGAAGCACAGCUCUCCCUAAAUAAUGCAUGGAAUCCAAGUGUUGACUAAACAGAUGCCUUUAUAAGAAGAACUCUCCUUCCACCUCCUCAAGUUGCUGAGCUCAAUCUCAGUUCUCAAUAGGAUAUGUUUUUGAAAGUGAGUUUCAUACAUUUAUGACUCAGACUUUGCUACUGCAAUGUCCUUGGAGCCUGUCUUUGAUUUGCAGUUUUCUUGACCCUCGAUUGUUUUGACAUUGGAUUUCUGCAGCUUCUAUGACUACUGUCUUCAGCAAUCUGAAUACUUUCUUUUUUUGUGCUGCAAAUAAUUGUUUUUUGUUUUCAAAAAAAUUAAAGUGGAAAAAAUUAACUCAAACGGCAUUCUGAAUUCUUAUUCAGUGUUGGGAUCAAAAUAGGUUAACUGGUUCUGUACAUGUGCUUAGGAUGCAUAAUAAACUCAAAAGAAUCUCCUGAAUUAUGAACAGAUCAUUAUUUGAUUAACAGGGUGGAAGUUACUGUAAGAUAUUAGAAAAGAUAAACAAUUACAAUAUUUCAGGUAAUUUAAUUUUGCUCCUUAUUCUUCUUUCAUCCAAGCAUGAGCCACUUCAGAUUCUCAGAAAUCUCAAAUAAUGUCACAGUAUUAGUGCAAUACCUUUUGGAAGAAGUAUCCUGCAAAUCUUACACAUAUUACCCAUAUGGCCCACUAAAGUCUCAUUAAAACAAAGGAUAUGGGAGGUCAGUCUGUGUUUCAUUAGUAAAAAUGUGUGAAAUGCCUCUACUGUAUUUUGUUUGAUUUUACAUGGUACGUUCAGCAGACUGAUGAACAAGCCUAUUACUCUUGCUGUAGGUGAAAAAUCGACAGCUAAGAAAGUUUAUUUAUUUAUUUACAACAUUCUCACCCGAGGGGACUCAGGGCAGCUUACAAAAAUUGGCAAAAUUUAAUGCCCAAUUUGCAAUCAUAAAAACAAAACAAUAUAAACAGAUCUGUUAAUAACAUUGUUAAAACACAUUAUAAAAACCUUUUCAGUUUAAAACUGAAAAGAGUGUUUUGUAGUUGCUCACUGUGAUGUAAUGGUAGUUAUUGAAAACACACAGGAUCAAGCCACACAGAAAAAUGGAAAGUGCUUGUAAAAAUAGAUAAGAAGCCUUGCCCACCUCCACAUCCUAUUUUGAAAUUGUUGCCCCACUUGCACAGCAAAGUAAAGUCCAUGCACGCUUGGUUUCCCUGUCUGUUUCCACCCUUUCUAUUGUGUUGUGUUUUUUUUUUUGCCAGCUUAAGUGAAAAGGAGGAAAAAUGACUGGAUGGAACAGACCAAUCUCAUACAAAAUAAGGACACCAUGCAUUAGAAGAAUAAACUGGGCACAUAAUGACAAACAUGUGGUCUUUUUAAUCCUUUCAUCUCCCACUUUAGCUCCUUUUUUGUUUCAGCUGCCAUAAACACUUGCUGUGAAGCCAAUGUUCUGUUCUAAAAGAAUCCCCCUCCCUUUUUAUGUUUUUUUAUUUAAUUUUUUUUGGUAUUCCUCUUAUUUCUGUUGAAACAUGACACUCAAAUUGGAGGUAGGAGCAGAGAUCAGCAAACCCUGUCAGCUCUUGUCAACCCAGGUGUAACAGUGUGAUCUUCUUAAAUUGCUGCUAAUCUGCCAAAAAUCUCUUUUAUCUGCAGUCUCCAUCAUGCUGUUUGCUCACAUUUGGUUAACACUUUAAAUUUCCCUUUUGGAGGUGUCACUGUUUGCCAUUUAGUAACUAAGAAGAACUGUGAGAGCAGCUUAAAGCACAUGGAUUUGGGAAGCUAGAAAAGCUUAUUAGCUAUUCAGGGGGAAUAAUCUUAUUGAAAGUAGUAAGAGCUGUAUAAAGAAUGCUUUUCCCUUUCCCCAUAACAAUCUUCUAAUUAUGUUGUCAAGCUUGCUGUCGUGUUCUCCCCCUGUGCCAUUAAGGAAACCAUUUUCUAUGCUAAAAAAGAGAUUUCCAGAUCGCAAUGAUGUUUGCUGAUUUUUUUAUUGUUUAAAGAAUCUGUGUGUAUUAAACCAAACAUUAAAAAAUGAUUCAUGUGCAGCAUAAUUAUUCGAGAUGAAGAGCUCAAGGCAAGGGUGGUGGAAGAUGAGCCAGGGAGGUGUGUGUGUGUUAGAUGGAGGCGGAGGAGAGAGAGUUGGGUGGGAUUAGCAUUCCACAUCAGUGCAAGAAGCUUUCACCUCACUUGCUGGAUUCCAAAUCUAGCUGGGACCUUUGUGACUAAAAUGCACUCAUAAAUCAAUAACAGACCCAGAGGUCAUAAGCAAGGCCAACAGAUAUCUGCAGCUGUAGACUUCAUAGUAAACCUGAAGAACAUGCCCAGUCAAUCGGUUGAUAACAAGUUCAAUGGUGCACAAACCUUCUUGGGCUGUAGGGCACAGUGCAAUCAGAAGGAGAAAAGGCAAGAGAAGAAUUACACAUGGUGCGAGCAGCGGACAUGUUUGGCCAUUAAGGGCUCACAUAUCGCCCCAGCUAAGUCCAGAAUUAAUCUGCAACACUCCAUGCAUAUAAAAGCCAGCUUCCAAGAGUCCAUCACCUUAUAUGACCAUAAUGCCCAAACCGCUAAACAAACUAAACAAACAAACAAACAAAGCCAGACUACUAGUUAGCACCAUGGAAAUGAAAAGCACAAAGAUGAUACCUUCUGUUACAAAAGAAAAUAAACAAACCGCAAUCUGGGAUGUUAUUACAUGGAAUAAAAUAUACUCCAUACCUUACAACCAGUCAUUGGGAGAGACUAAAAUAACAAACACAGCUAUUGUUCUAAUUUAUUUUGUCCUUUAUUGGUUUUUUAAAAAUAGUUUUAAUUUUAUAGAUUAUUUUUUUUUAAAAAAAUUGAAUAUGUUUUUGUAUGUUUUUAAUCAGAAUUGGCAGAAGACAAAGGGAGAAAAUGCGUGGCCAAGAGAAAAACUGGGACAUUUUAAAUGGAAAUGGAAAGUUGUAAUGGUAGAAAAUUACUUUGGACUGUCCUUGUCAAAAAGGAACACUUGAAGGUUAUGAUAUUCCAUAUGGUAACCCUUUGUUAUAGGCUGCAUUUCCAAUCAAAAUGACAUGGUUAAGAAAAAAAAUAUUUAAUGCUUUCUUGUUUUUGUGCUGGUCAGCUAGACUAUAGUAAAAAGAACAUUUUUCUUGCAUUUCACCAAAUACCCACGGAUCUUCAUUUGUGGUCCAAUUUUGUUGCAGCCAGAAUGAAGCUUAGCCCUAUUGUUUUCAGCCAGUGUAAACAAAAGCAGAAGAUGCCUUUUCAUUGCAAAUCAAUAGCAUAGACAGUUUCCAUAAGGCUUUUCUUUUGCUCAUGCACAAAAUUAUAGCAUAAAAUUAUAAUUACUCCUCAGUUACUAUCAUAUCCCUCUCAUUUUUUAUUUCUUUCCUAUAAUUGACUUUCAAGAGAGAUUGGAAGAACAUUGUUAUCAUAAAGUUGUUUGACAAUGGGAUGUUGUGAUCCCCUGUUUUGGGCACAUUAGGCAGAUUAUGAAAGGGAUUACAUUUCUAUUACUUUUAUUUGGUUCUUUCAAAUUAGGCUAUCCUUUUUUUCUUACUAUGCGCAAUGUAAAAAAAAAACUAUGCCCAGAAUCCAGCAGUGUACAAAGAAGGAGGAAAGCAAUAUGUGGAAAGAAAAUUUCAUAAACCCCCCCCCCCUUUUUUUUCUUUUCCCUUAAUAAUCUCCUUACUUCUCUUUCCUUAUUUACCACCACCACCACCCCUGCCCCCCGGAUUUACCCUACCCUUUCUUUCCCCUCACUUAUCCCCCCUCUCUUGUUUCCUGUUUUUUUUUAAAAAAAUUUUUUUAAUGUAACUCAUUUGAUAUAAGUCAUUUAAAAAUCAUUUAAAAUAUUAAACAAUUUGCCUUCCCCAGUUCUUCUAAUAUUUGAUAGCUGAAGUUUUGUCUCUUAUGUAGGAAUUCUAUACUUUUUGUGUAUUCUUUUAUUCUCUUAUUUUUACUGCCAUCACCAAUGGAAAUGGGGUGGAUGAUCCAGUUCCUUUUCCUUCUUAGGGGCCGAUUUUCUGUUUCUGAAACCCUUCGGAGCUGGAAUGGACUACCCAGAAUACAGCCACACAUACAAAUUGACAGAAAUCAAUUUCUCGUUUUAAAAAAUAGAUGUUUGUUUUAAUAUCAGUUAAUUUUAUACGAAUUUUGGGAGAUUCAGUUCAUCUUUUUUAAUGGGAAAAUAAAGAACAGUCUGGAAAGUUUGGAAGGACUGACAAAGACAGCCUAUGCAAGCCAAUUGCAAUAUCAGGGUUUUCCACCCCUAAUAUACUGCAUCCAUACAUUUAAUAAUAGGUUGAGCAGGUGUCUUAUCCUUUUCACCUCCUUGAAGUUGUAGCAUCAUAACUGCCUCCUGAGCCAGCUGCCUGCUUGCAAGAGGGACUGCGAGGCUCAGCUGGAGCAGAGCUAAUAGCCACUCCGAGGAAAAAAAGCCAUAUUGGGACUUGAAAUAGCAAACUCAUCAAUGACAAUGUGGUCUAAAAUAAAAUAAAAUAGGAAUUCUUGCCAGACUGUAAAUAUUUGACUAGCACUACAAGGUGCAGCCACAUUGUGCCAAUGGGCAGUGAAUUCUUGGGUUCAGACAUGAUCUCUGCCAUGAGUUUAUAAGACAAAUGCCAUGGUAAAGGAUGUCAUUGCUAAAAGUGAAGACUGGUCAUAUUCAGCUUCUUGUUUAUUUGUUGCAAUUUUAUCUCACUUCUUCAAUAAAUACAAUAGCACUCAGCAUCUCUAAAAACAAAUUAAAUUUAUCACAGCCAUCUAUAACCAGAUCAAUUUCUGGCUUUACUUCAUUCAGUCCUCCUAUCAUCAUUCUCCUGCUAGAUACUAGGUGGGACCUUGGGUCUGCUGGCCAUUUCUUGCUUCUAUGAAGUGUAUGCCAUUUUCCUAACUACAUUUACAUGCUCAUAUUUCAGUUUUCAGGGCACAAAUUGUUUAGAUAUUGCCCUGAAGAGAAAAGGAAAGACUAGAUGAUUCCUAUUCUGUGCAUGGAAACAGGCUGAUCUGAACCUCACUUGAGAAUUAACAAGAGCAUAAAUUCCUGCAUAGCACUUGGAGGCAGCUGGCCAGCUUGGAGGGCACAGGAUGUGACAUGUGCAGUUCUGUCCUCUAAACUUGUACAUCCGUGAUCCAUUUCGGUGUCCUGGAUUUCAGUGGGGACCCUGAUCCGUUUUUCGGGAGCCUCUGGAAUUCAGGAGGGCAUAUGUCUGUUUCUGCUUUGGGAUACCAAAAGAUUCAUUUUCUAUUCAGCCCAUAAUGGGGGGUGGCUUCCCAGGCUCCCCUUCCUGUCAUUUUAGGCAUUUAAGCUGUUUCUACUCUAAAGGAGAGGCAAGCAGGUGCAUGUGCUUUCUCUCCCAGGCCUGCACCACGCCACACACACUUUCCAAGGCAUUUAAAGGAGGCUUCCCCAGUUCCAGGUAAGGAAGAACGAUGACCUCGACCUCGUGAAGCUAUCUUCUCUGGGCUUCCUUUUAAAAACCCUCUUAUUUCCUGGCACACUUCAAUCUCCUUUCUGUUUUAGGUUUAAUGCUUCCUUACAGCUUUUUCUACUCUCUACUGUAGUGAAGAGGUAACAGGAGUAGUUUUCAGGGAAUGAGGUUUUUCUUUUUGCUGGGAUUAAUAUAAAAGAUUAAAUUUGAUGCCAAAAAGCAGAGGAGGAGCUGAGAUUGGCUCCUGCUUGCUCUCAUGUCAGGCAGGUUUUCGUACCGGCCCUUCCCGUUAUGUGUUCCCAAAGGUACACAAGUCUACUGUCCUCUGACAUCAUCACUCCUUUUUUACCAUCAGCACCUGCCAGCAGAAACAGCUGCCUCAACUGUAACCAGGAAUGGGUUAAGACAGUGGUUCUCAACCUGUGGGUCCCCAGAUGUUUUGGCCUUCAAGUCCCAGAAAUCCCAACAGCUGGUAAACUGGCUGGGAUAUCUGGGAGUUGUAGGCCAAAACACCUGGAGACCCACAGAUUGAGAACCACUGGGUUAAGACAUGUUAAGGCCAUAAACUAUAUCAAGUUGAAGAAGCUGCAUAGCAUUUUCAACCUCUACCCCAUCCCAAAGUGUAUGAACCUAACAAUUAUGUGAAACAGUUAUAGGCAAGGUACAGCUCAAAGGUCCCCAAUGUCACUUCUGUGUGCCUUCAGACUUCCCACCCAACAUUUAGUCCUAUCCAAAAAAAAAGUAAACCACUGCUCCUAGAAGUCCCCAAGAGGUAUAAUCCAUCUCUUAAAUAGGUCACACACAGUAUAACAUUUAGGACCAAAAAAUACCAGUUUCUUUUUAAUGGAAAUGGAUUUCAAGCCAUUUCUUU